GUUUGCACGUGUCGGUAGCAACUAGCUUUCAUGUGCAGUUGGUUGCCAAGAACCAAGAAGCAUGGUCGACGAGACCGAAUGAGACUACUAGAUGAAGACCGCUAAAACGCUGAAAGGGACUCAGUGGCAAUAUCAGUCAGCUGCACGCAGUUUAUGGAUCUGGUGUUUUCCUGAAAUUUAGAAGCAAGACCUGAUUUGGACUGCAAGAAGACUUCUUGAAAUGGUUUUACAGCCAGGUGAAAUCUCUUCUUUAUUGCUGUCUAACACAACACACAUGGUUUUUGGUUGUGACCAGCUGGUGAAAGGUGUCAUCAAAUUAGGUUCAGUUGUUGCCUGGAGUCUGUGAUGCCGGUGUUAUCUUGGAGUGUGUUGGUGUUGAGACAGAUAUUGUUCUGCUUAAUUGUUUAUGA
rnacentral:lncRNA from 1 species